AACACCACUACUUCAGCGUUUCCUUACUUACUCGAUGAGGCGGAAGGCGUCCGACGGGCGUAAAACCCCGGCGAGAUGGUAUAUUUCGCCCUAAGCGCAAAGGGUCGUCGGUCUGUAAGGAGUCGCGCUCGCGCCGAGAAGGGCUUCGGCCCGGACCGGCUGCGCCGCGUCUCUCGGACCAGCCGGGCCUGCCGGCGACAUAUUCCAUGGCGUGAUCCGAUUCGAGGACACUACCAGGUUGGGAGUUCGGCUGGGGCGGUACAUCUGUCAAAUAAUAACGCAGGUGUCCUAAGGUCAGCUCAGCGAGGACAGAAACCUCGCGUAGAGCAAAAGGGCAAAAGCUGGCUUGAUCCCGAUGCUCAGUGCGCAUAGGGACUGCGAAAGCACGGCCCAUCGAUCCUUUUGGCUUGAAGAAUUUUCAG